GAUCCCUGCAGCACUUGGAGGUCCCUCCUGGAAACCUGUGCACAGGUCCAGCUGUGCCAGCGAGGAGAAGGAUGAGAGCUCAGCAAUCCUGCCCAGCACAGGCUCUCCUGGAGAGACCCCUGAGAGCUGCUGUGAGUGGGGACAUCAUCAGUGCCUCACAGGAUGUCUCCCUGUCCCGUGUCAGCCUGUUCUCCUGCAGCAGCUCCUUAUCCUGUUCUGCAGGAUAGCAGCAGCCCUGUAAGUCACAG
rnacentral:lncRNA from 1 species